UACGUAGGGGGCAAGCGUUGUCCGGAAUCAUUGGGCGUAAAGAGCGUGUAGGCGGUCCGGUAAGUCGGCUGUGAAAGUCCAGGGCUCAACCCUGGGAUGCCGGUCGAUACUGCCGGACUAGAGUUCGGAAGAGGCGAGUGGAAUUCCUGGUGUAGCGGUGAAAUGCGCAGAUAUCAGGAGGAACACCGGUGGCGAAGGCGGCAUCCUGGACCGGUAUUGACGCUGAGGAGCGAAAGCCAGGGGAGCAAACGGG
rnacentral:rRNA from 1 species